UACGUAGGGUGCGAGCGUUGUCCGGAAUUACUGGGCGUAAAGAGCUCGUAGGUGGUUUGUCGCGUUGUCCGUGAAAUUCCCUGGUUUAACUGGGGGCGUGCGGGCGAUACGGGCAGACUGGAGUACUGCAGGGGAGACUGGAAUUCCUGGUGUAGCGGUGGAAUGCGCAGAUAUCAGGAGGAACACCGGUGGCGAAGGCGGGUCUCUGGGCAGUAACUGACGCUGAGGAGCGAAAGCGUGGGGAGCGAACAGG
rnacentral:rRNA from 1 species